UGGGAAGCCGGCCGGAUGUUUAUUAAUAUUUUGUGUUAAGGGGUAACAUAGAUCUUAGCGCUACAAAUGCGUGGUUUUAGGUGCAGAAGCUAGCGUUGCACUUCUUGCUCAUGUCCUUGAUAGUGUCGAUCUCCAGUGUUCCGCAUUCACAUCCAUCGAGCUUGCCAAACAGUGAGCAACAAUCAGAGCUGCCAGAAGGGGUGCUGCACGCUGCAAGUUUUGCCUGGACUCUAUUUGCUUCACACAGCUUCAAAGUGGGGCUUCCACCAACAUCCAUGUGGCUUCCUUCGCUGCCGUCGCCAUUGAUGAGAGAAAAGAGAGUGAGCAGGAGCAAGAGUGGAAAAAAAAGCUUGUGAAUUGCC
rnacentral:lncRNA from 1 species